rnacentral:rRNA from 1 species
AUUGAACGCUGGCGGCGUGCUUAACACAUGCAAGUCGGACGAGUGGCGGACGGGUGAGUAACGCAUCGGAACCUGCCGGAUAGUGGGGGAUAACUGUUCGAAAGGGUAGCUAAUACCGCAUAUUAUCCGAUGUGCCGAUGUCGGAUUAGCUGGUUGGGGGGGUAACGGCCCACCAAGGCGACGAUCCGUAGCGGGUCUGAGAGGAUGACCCGCCACACUGGGACUGAGACACGGCCCAGACUCCGACGGGAGGCAGCAGUGGGGAAUUUUGGACAAUGGGCGCAAGCCUGAUCCAGCCAUGCCGCGUGUCUGAAGAAGGCCUUCGGGUUGUAAAGGACUUUUGUCAGGGAAGCGGUACCGGAAUAGAAAGCCACGGCUAACUACGUGCCAGCAGCCGCGGUAAUAC